UACGGAAGGGGCAAGCGUUGUUCGGAAUCAUUGGGCGUAAAGGGCGCGUAGGUGGUUCUUGUAUGUCUACCGUGAAAGCAUACAGCUCAACUGUAUUUGUCGGUAGAAACUGCAGGACUUGAGGCUGGGAGGGGCUGGUGGAAUUCCCUGUGUAGCGGUGAAAUGCGUAGAGAUGGGGGAGAACACUCGUGGCGAAGGCGGCCAGCUAGACCAGUUCUGACACUGGAGGCGCGACAGCGUGGGGAGCAAACAGG
rnacentral:rRNA from 1 species